UUGCAAUAAGCAUGUUUGGGUGCAGGCCAGGAAUCCAUUUGGCCUGCUUAAAAGGGAACCGUGUGCAAUUCACGGGCUGACGGGCAACUGUAAGUAACCAACGUUACAAGCCAGACACCUGCCUAAAACAUCUGCUUGUU
rnacentral:ncRNA from 1 species